rfam:Physcomitrella patens subsp. patens PHYPAscaffold_19 genomic scaffold, whole genome shotgun sequence.
UGAGGCAUGUGUUAUUGGGCCCGCUCAAUCAGAUGUCUUUUCCAGCAACGGCUGGUAUUGUCCUCAGAUUGAGCCGCGCCAAUAUCACAUCCUUCCUU